UGGUUACUACCCUGUACUCGCUCUCUCGCACCUCUCCGUCGCAGUGAUUGGCUAAACGGGAAAUCCUUCCUCCUCCUCCUCCUCCUCCUCCUCCUCCACCUGGGUGUACACUGGCCUGUUACGGGGAGCGAAUUAAGUUUUGCGGUUAAGAAGAAGUGGGUCCAUCCCCCGUCCUCCUUCCUUGGCCACGCCCCCCCACCCCUGUUCGCUUGGGCUACUGGCCGUGAGCCGCCCCUCUCUUUCCUUCAGUUGCUGUGGUGGCAGGCAGGUCGGGGGAGAAGGAAGGAAGGGAAGAAAGAAAAAAAGAAAGUGGGUAGCUUUCUCUGUCCAGUGCUGAGAUUUCAUUGCUUGCUUCACAACUGCCUUAAAUUUCCCCCUCCCCCGGUUCUGUGCACGCGCCUCCGACGGUUUCCGAGAGUUAACGAUGCAGUUUAUGUUGCUUUUUAGUCGUCAGGGGAAGCUGAGACUUCAGAAGUGGUAUGUCCCAUUGUCUGACAAAGAAAAGAAGAAAAUCACAAGGGAACUUGUUCAAACUGUCUUAGCCCGUAAACCGAAAAUGUGCAGCUUUCUUGAAUGGAGAGACCUGAAGAUUGUCUACAAAAGGUAUGCAAGCCUUUACUUCUGCUGUGCCAUUGAAGAUCAGGAUAAUGAGCUAAUAACCCUGGAGAUAAUUCAUCGUUAUGUAGAAUUGCUUGAUAAAUACUUUGGAAGUGUAUGUGAACUUGAUAUCAUCUUUAAUUUCGAGAAGGCUUAUUUUAUUUUGGAUGAAUUUCUGUUGGGUGGGGAAGUUCAGGAGACCUCAAAGAAAAAUGUUCUUAAAGCCAUUGAACAGGCAGAUUUGUUACAGGAGAGCCAGAAUGAAGACUGGGGAGGUUUGUCUGAGGAUAUCUUAUGAUUAAGGCAAUCUAAAGCCUUAGCCUUUUGAUCCCCAUCCAUACGAUUGGAUGCUAAAGAAGCGGAGACCCCUCGUAGUGUACUUGAAGAAAUUGGACUGACAUAAGCUGCUGCCUUUGCUGAUGUCUUGUGUGAUGUUUCACAUAACUGUAAAUGUUCACUGCCUCCAUUUAAUGUUAGCUAGUGGUGUUAUGAUGCUAUUUGUCAGUAUUACUGUUCUGCUAAGCUACUUCAUUCAGGCCUACAAGAAAAAUUCUGUUUACUGUAAAAUAAAAAAGGGAGAAAACAUUUUUAAAACCUUUUGAAAAGAAUAAAAGGGAUUUUACAGUAAUUUUAAAGCACAGUAUUUAAGACCAUUGAUAAGUCUUAGAUGGCAAAGUUAUUUAUAAAAUCAAAUUGCCAUCACACAAUGUAUGUAAACCUGUGUGGUAUGCAGUAUGCCAUAUAUUGAAAAGAAACAACUGUGUAAGGCAACAAGUGAAAUGCUUCAAUGUAGAACUUGGCUUUGUGCAACCAAAGACUUUUUCUAUAAAGUCAGCAUUUGUUAAAACUCAGUUUAGGUCAUUGCUGAAGAUUGGAGGGAAACAACCAUGUAUGGCCGCCUACUAUACCAAAGAAUCCUAUAAAAGUCUGCAAGUUAAACUGUUGUGAACUGUUACAGUAGCUUCAUUUUAGCAACAGAGUUGUAAAAAAUUUAAUCAGAAUGAAAGUAUAUAGUAUUAAAAAAUUCAACCUCAAAAAUUAGUUCAUUUACUAAAAAAAGGGAACACAGGCUGUGUGGCAUUUCCUUUUGGGGGGGGAAACUUUUUUUUUUGUUUAGACAGUAUAGUUUGAUAUCACAAUCUAUUCAAAAGCAUAAUGCAGUAUUAAUGCAAAAAUCAUCUGGAAAUUGUUGAUAUAAACUGAAAAGGUAAAUAAGGGAAAUGUAAAUGUGAGAAUGGAUUUCCUCUGUCCUUAGAAACAAAACUUUCUGUCUACAUUUACCAAUAUCAUGAUUGUUAUACUUUACACCAGAGCAACUACUUGGAUAAUUUGACAAUCCUUAUUUUUAAUUAUUGUGAUCUUUAACUCCACCUCACACGUUACAUUUAGUAGGAAAGUGAACUAUGCUAGGGAAGCAAACUUUACACUGGAAAAGCUAGUCCUGUGUACUUUUAAUUGGAUGCAAGUCUCAUUGAACAAAAUGAGACUUGUUUCUCAGUAAUCAUGCACAGGAUUGGGCUGCACAGAUGUCAGAAAGCCAUACUGUUGUUUACUGUAAUUUAUAUUUUGCUGUGUGUCUUUUGUUCAAUUCAUAAAAGGGAGACCUCAGUACAGACUGCCUGUUCCCAAAAGCACUUCCUAUGUGUUUGUGUAUUUGUGCUUUUAUAACCCUCUUAAACAUGCACCCUUCAAUUGACACAUGACUACUAAAUUAAUCCCUUGUGGCUCUGUUUGCUGUGAUCAGUGUAUUCUAAAGCAUCCAAAUGCUUUACUGUAAAACAGUGCCAUAAACGUAAAAGAGUUUCUUCAUGACUGAUACUGACCACAACAAUGGAAGUCUUGGGACAAUGUUUGUAUAAGGGACAGAAAAGCCCAGUUCUACAUUUCAGUAAUGGAAAGCCAGGAAAAACUGAUUUUGAGUAACAUUAGAAUAGCCCUCUGUGACGCUGAAAUUACUGAACACUUCAGAAUGUCAACCUGAACAUAAUUUCAUAUGUAUUCAAAACAUGUUUUAAGGUUUACACGUUGCCUUGUACGUGCUUGGUUGGAAAAGCUUUG